AUGAACGCUAGCUACAGGCUUAACACAUGCAAGUCGAGGGGCAGCAUGGUCUUAGCUUGCUAAGGCCGAUGGCGACCGGCGCACGGGUGAGUAACACGUAUCCAACCUGCCGUCUACUCUUGGACAGCCUUCUGAAAGGAAGAUUAAUACAAGAUGGCAUCAUGAGUCCGCAUGUUCACAUGAUUAAAGGUAUUCCGGUAGACGAUGGGGAUGCGUUCCAUUAGAUAGUAGGCGGGGUAACGGCCCACCUAGUCUUCGAUGGGUAGGGGUUCUGAGAGGAAGGUCCCCCACAUUGGAACUGAGACACGGUCCAAACUCCUACGGGAGGCAGCAGUGAGGAAUAUUGGUCAAUGGGCGAGAGCCUGAACCAGCCAAGUAGCGUGAAGGAUGACUGCCCUAUGGGUUGUAAACUUCUUUUAUAAAGGAAUAAAGUCGGGUAUGGAUACCCGUUUGCAUGUACUUUAUGAAUAAGGAUCGGCUAACUCCGUGCCAGCAGCCGCGGUAAUACGGAGGAUCCGAGCGUUAUCCGGAUUUAUUGGGUUUAAAGGGAGCGUAGAUGGAUGUUUAAGUCAGUUGUGAAAGUUUGCGGCUCAACCGUAAAAUUGCAGUUGAUACUGGAUAUCUUGAGUGCAGUUGAGGCAGGCGGAAUUCGUGGUGUAGUGGUGAAAUGCUUAGAUAUCACGAAGAACUCCGAUUGCGAAGGCAGCCUGCUAAGCUGCAACUGACAUUGAGGCUCGAAAGUGUGGGUAUCAAACAGGAUUAGAUACCCUGGUAGUCCACACGGUAAACGAUGAAUACUCGCUGUUUGCGAUAUACAGCAAGCGGCCAAGCGAAAGCGUUAAGUAUUCCACCUGGGGAGUACGCCGGCAACGGUGAAACUCAAAGGAAUUGACGGGGGCCCGCACAAGCGGAGGAACAUGUGGUUUAAUUCGAUGAUACGCGAGGAACCUUACCCGGGCUUAAAUUGCAGAUGAAUUACGGUGAAAGCCGUAAGCCGCAAGGCAUCUGUGAAGGUGCUGCAUGGUUGUCGUCAGCUCGUGCCGUGAGGUGUCGGCUUAAGUGCCAUAACGAGCGCAACCCUUGUUGUCAGUUACUAACAGGUUCCGCUGAGGACUCUGACAAGACUGCCAUCGUAAGAUGUGAGGAAGGUGGGGAUGACGUCAAAUCAGCACGGCCCUUACGUCCGGGGCUACACACGUGUUACAAUGGGGGGUACAGAGGGCCGCUACCACGCGAGUGGAUGCCAAUCCCCAAAACCUCUCUCAGUUCGGACUGGAGUCUGCAACCCGACUCCACGAAGCUGGAUUCGCUAGUAAUCGCGCAUCAGCCACGGCGCGGUGAAUACGUUCCCGGGCCUUGUACACACCGCCCGUCAAGCCAUGGGAGCCGGGGGUACCUGAAGUGCGUAACCGCGAGGAGCGCCCUAGGGUAAAACUGGUGACUGGGGCU
rnacentral:rRNA from 1 species